GCAUAUCAAUAAGCGGAGGAAAAGAAACCAACAGGGAUUGCCCUAGUAACGGCGAAGUGAAGCGGCAACAGCUCAAAUUUGAAAUCUGGCCCUCGGGUCCGAGUUGUAAUUUGUAGAGGAUGCUUUUGGUGCGGUGCCUUCCGAGUUCCCUGGAACGGGACGCCAUAGAGGGUGAGAGCCCCGUCUGGUUGGACACCAAGCCUCUGUAAAGCUCCUUCGACGAGUCGAGUAGUUUGGGAAUGCUGCUCUAAAUGGGAGGUAUAUGUCUUCUAAAGCUAAAUACCGGCCAGAGACCGAUAGCGCACAAGUAGAGUGAUCGAAAGAUGAAAAGCACUUUGAAAAGAGGGUUAAAUAGUACGUGAAAUUGUUGAAAGGGAAGCGCUUGUGACCAGACUUGAGCCCGGUUAAUCAUCCAGCCUUCUGGCUGGUGCACUUGGCCGGCUCAGGCCAGCAUCAGUUCGGCGCGGGGGAUAAAGGCUUCGGGAAUGUGGCUCCUCCGGGAGUGUUAUAGCCCGUUGUGUAAUACCCUGUACUGGACUGAGGUUCGCGCAUCUGCAAGGAUGCUGGCGUAAUGGUCAUCAGCGACCCGUCUUGAAACACGGACCAAGGAGUCGUCUUCGUAUGCGAGUGUUCGGGUGUCAAACCCCUACGCGUAAUGAAAGUGAACGCAGGUGAGAGCUUCGGCGCAUCAUCGACCGAUCCUGAUGUUCUCGGAUGGAUUUGAGUAAGAGCAUACGGGGCCGGACCCGAAAGAAGGUGAACUAUGCCUGUAUAGGGUGAAGCCAGAGGAAGACUCUGGUGGAGGCUCGCAGCGGUUUCUGACGUGCAAAUCGAUCGUCAAAUAUGGGCAUGGGGGCGAAAGACUAAUCGAACCUUCUAGUAGCUGGUUUCCGCCGA
rnacentral:rRNA from 1 species